GUGGCGGCAGGGACAAGACUUGCCAGUGGGUCCUUGUCAUGCUCCUUUGACCCCCUCAGUACCCAGGCCUUUCACCCUCCAACCCACUCCCACGGCCCAGCUCCCGGGAUAGUUCUCCCAGCUCGCUCCCUUCCCCGGCACCUCCCUGCAGGCGCACUGGGGAGGAGAGGCGGAGGGGGAAGGAGGGAGCGAGCGCCCCGGACGCCCGAGGAACAGACGGAGCCUCCCGUCCUGGGCCAGGAAGCCACCCGCUCGGGGGCCGGGGGCUGCAGGAGCCGCCCGGCGCCGCGGGGCACGGAGUCCGCGCAGGGCUGGCCGCCCAGUGCCCCACUGCCAUGGCACCUGUCUUGGAACCAGCCAACGACGGACUGAAACCUCUACAAACUGGAUCGAACUCACGACUGCCUGCUUGCAAGGCAGGUGCUUAUGCCGCUGAGCUAAACCUCCAGCCUUUCUCACUCUCUUCUAUGAUGUAGGUCUCGGUAUUCUCACUCUACAUUGAGGAAACUAGAAUUGAGAAAAGUUAUGGAACUCAAAGAUCUUCGCACAACUGGUACGUGCUGGAGCUGAAGUGUGACCAAGACAGUCUGACCGCUUUCUGAGUCGCUGACCGGCCUUCAUCCCACAUAUGAGUGUGCAGGUGCAUACACACAUGUUCUUUCCGUGUAACUCUCUGUGAACUCUAUGUUUUAAGCCCCAGGAAGCUGAACAGCAGAAAGUGCCAGACCCCAGAAGGCUGCCACAGGAAAGUCCAUUGGUGACCACAGGGGCAGACCCUGAGAGCUCUCCAUGAGGUCAGCAUCACGGCCCAUCACCUCUACCGUGGACCAGAGAUUGGAGACACGAGAACCCUCAUUUCUAUUGGCACACACUUGGGGAGAGAUCUCACUCUUGUUUUAAAUAUUUCAGUGAAUUUGUAAUUGAUAUGUAACAUACAAACAAAAAAGUGAACAACUUGAUGAAUUCUCACAAACUGAACACCCCUGCUGUCUUGGUCCCUGUGGGCUGCCAUAACAGAAGAGCAUACCAAAGCAAAAUUCUAUUUCCUGCAGUGCUGGAGGCUAGAAAUUCCAAAGUGUAGGUGCCAGCAGAUCCGGAGUCUAGCAAGGGUCCACUCCGGGACACCGUCUAUGAACACAGAAGAAGGAACAAAGACGUUGUAUCUCUCUUUAGGAGCAUUCAUGAGGAAUCCUCCCUCCCGACCUGUCAACUCCCAAAGGACCCCUGCUUAUGCCAUCACAGUCCAGUUAGGAUUUCAACCCAAGAUUUAGGGGGGGCAGGAGCGUUGCCUAUGACACCUGGUAACCAGCUCCACUAUUUGGUAGCAACCUUAUCCCUGGAUUCAUCAUCUUUAGGCAUCUGCGGUUAUCUUUUUGUUUGUUUGUUUUUGGUACCAGGAAUCAAACUCAGGACCUUGCACUUGCCAGUGCACUUGCUGUGCCACUGAGCUAAAUCCCCGGCCCAUCUGCAGUUAUCUUAGCAAAAGUCACUGAGGACUUUAGGCAUUUCUGAAAUUGAAUUUUAUAUCACAGAUAAACAUCCUUUUACAAAGAGGAUAUUUUAAAAACAAAAGAAAAGCAAACAGCAUCACAACAAAAAGCAACAGAGCACUGCAAGUCUAACGAGGACUUCGAAUCACUCUGUUGCUAUUUUAAAUAAAAUGUGGGGUUUAGGAAGCACAUUGGUAUUUAUUCCAGAUCAUUAUAUCACAGAGGGGAGGCUCUUCACAUUCAGACAUGUUGUUUUUUUUCCCCAGGGCAGUCAGUGUAAAAGUGACAGCCAAGAGGAGGGGCCCUCUGUCCUGGGCCACCUUCGUGUGUCCCACUGUGUAGCUCACACUUGGCAUCGUGCAUGGGUAGCUCUGCUCACAGGGGUCAGACAGACAGGCCAGUUAAGGCUCAGCAUCAGACAAGCUGGGCUUCACUCAGCUUCUACAAUAGCCCACCUCAGUGACCAUGAGCAAGCCACCCCACUUCCUGAGGCAUCAGUGUGUAAAGGGAGUCGGGGCGAUGCGAUUGCAGUGCGGGAAAUGGGGUGUGGAACGUGCUUAAAGUCACUACCAUAAUUCCUGCGCCUGGUUCUAGAAAGAGGCAGAGAAAGAGAGCAAUCUUCACAUCCCACACCAAGGCAGGAUGGGAAGGAGAGAGGUAAGGGGAAUUGUAUCAUCCUGCAGACAGGGGAUAUUUAUCACCUCCCUGCUGUGGAAAUGUCCAGGGGCAGGUUGAUUCCUGCAGGUCAGCAAUGAGAUGUCUGCGCCAAGCCAGGAAUAAAAGUAUUGAUUCUUGAAUUCUGAAAGCUCAAGCUGACAAAGUCAGCAAUGUGACAGUCCCUUCAUCUGGAGGGUCUCUUGAUCCAGCAUAAAUGAACACUGUCAACUAGGAAGUUAUCGGCGGCCUGUCUUAGAAACGCCCAGAUCCACGUGAGAUUGGCUCAAAGAGAGGUUGUCAUGGCAACCAGGAGGUUGGUGGUUGAAAGAAUUUGAAGAAAUGCACCCCCUGAAUUCAGAACUAUCUUGUAAGGAGCCUGGCUCCCUGUGCCUAAAUAUUGGGGUCCUGAGGGCAGGAAAGGGCAUAGCCCUGCCCAUCCCUCCACUUCACACAGCACGUGGAGCUCACAGCUUCCCAGAAGGCUUAUUACACUAUGCCGGAGUGGGGAGAAGGCAGUCUCAGGAUAAUUACCAUCCCAAAAUAGCUCUCUGGAAAUUAUCAGCCGCAGAGCCCUGGAAAUCAGGCAGGAAGCUAACUUUGGGCUCCUCAAAGCCAACAGACAAAACGGAUCCUGGACAAAUUGACCACUUUCAUUCUGUCCCUCCGGAGCCCAGUCCUCCUUGGGAUGUCUCCAUGAUAGCACUAUUCCACUAACAACUCAUAUCCUGGUGUCAUAAGGUAAAGGUGUUAGGAUUAUACUUCCCAGGGACUUUUCAUUCCAAUGAAGACUCUUGAAAGUCAAAAUACAUUCAGCCUCCUUUACUUAAGGAAUAAAUCUUCUAAUAGGGAGACUCCUGGGACCUCUAAGUGUGAGGAUGAGUUAAGAAGCAAGAGGAAGGGAAUUAAGGGAAGAUAUAAGAAAUCCUCUUACCAAGAAGGCUAUAGUUCAGCUUUAAAGUCCAGCAGGUCUGGGGUUGGGUGGUCCUGUGUGAUUUUGAUAGGAGUCUCAUAUCUAAAGCUGAAAGAGAUUGCCUAACUCACGCAACUGUCAGCACAAAGCUUGGCAUAAGGUCUCAAGGCUUCAAGUAGGACCAGUUAGGAAGACCAUGGUUCAUGUCCAGCCAAGGACCAAAAAUGGAUCUAACAGUCUGGCGUGGGUGGGGCAACUCAUCUCUAGCUUCAGGCAUUAGAUGCUGAUGGAGAGGGAGGCUGGGAGGAGCCCACUAACAGCCAACACUCAGUGUGAAUAUGCUUCCAAGCUGUUUCUCCCAGAGGUGACACAGAAAUCUUGAAAGCGCUGGACUCUGGGAGAAGGGAAGAGAGAUGGAAGCAGGAGGACCCUGUGCUGGUCACUGCCUGGUUCAAGGACUCCCAAGACAUGAGCACUACAGAGGGAAAGAGAAGGCACCGGACAAAGAACCUGUGUUCUCCACAGGAUGCCCUUAGGCCUGGGGUGGUGGCACCCUCAGCGUGCAAAGCUGUGAACUGCUGUUCUAACUAACCAAAGUGGUUGGCUUGUAUGAGGCUAGUGUAGCUGCUAGCCACAGAGUGUGAGCUAGAAGAAGCAUCCCAGUCCAUCUGGUGGAAGUCAAGAUUUGAGACCAUCCCCUGGACAUCCCCCACCAAAUAAAGCCUCAGCUUUGCUCAGAGGCCUACUACCCUUCCUUCUCUUCUGGGCAGCACUGUGCAGAGCAGAAAUACCAGGUCUAUCCCAGCUGGCAACUUCCGGUCAGGUGAUCAGAGCCAUCCAUCCAGGCUACAGCCUUAUCUGUUCUAUACAGCAGCAGGGUAUUUCUAUUUACAGGAUUGUGAGGUUAAGUGUGUCAUGCCUAUGAAGCAGUCAGAACAGGUACCUGGGAUCCCUAGACUCCCAAUAAAUGACUCUUGUUUGACAAGUCAAA